rnacentral:lncRNA from 1 species
CAGCCUCAAAACUGUUCCAGUAAGGGGAGGGGACCUCUAACCAAAUCUGUCUCGUGCUGCCCAGUCAAGUCUGAAGGGACGAAACGAAGUCGUCUUGUCCCCCACCCCUAACCCCAGUAAGAAAGAAUUCCAAGGGAGGUUAAAUGUAACUGUUCUUGUUCAAACCCUGACCUCCUUCCGACUGCCAGGAGUGUAUUAAGAAAGAGAGUUGGAUUCUGAGGCUGACUCCUGGGAACAAUCUGGGCCUUAUGAGAGCUAUGAUCACCUUUCUCCAACAGCCCCGUGAUCUCAACAGUCAGAAGAAACAGAAGAAAUCUGUCACAAAGACUGUACAACAAGCACUAAAUCCAACCAUAAUCCCCAGCUCCCCGGUGAUCCAAGGAGACAACCCGGAUGAACCUCAGAGCUCACACCCCUCUGCGGGUCACACUCCAGGUCCCCAGACACCACUCAACUCUCCCAAGAAUCCACCUCCGAGCCCAAGUUAGAGCACCAAGCGGGGCUUAGUCUAGCUGAGAUCCAGAUGAGCAAAGCUGUGCGGGGUAAAGGCCAUGCUAGGGUGACAUUUUAGAUACUGAUUGAAAUAAACAAGACCCUGUAUUCAGAAGUGUGGAAUAGGGAAAUGGUGGGCCAGGAGUAAAGGUAAAUUUGGGAAAAUAAACAUUGUUUGCUUGUU